rnacentral:misc_RNA from 1 species
GAUGAAGAACGUAGCGAAAUGCGAUAAGUAGUGUGAAUUGCAGAAUUCAGUGAAUCAUCGAAUCUUUGAACGCACAUUGCGCCCGCCAGUAUUCUGGCGGGCAUGCCUGUCCGAGCGUCAUUUCAACCAUCAAGCCCCGGGCUUGUGUUGGGGACCUGCGUCCGACGCAGGCCCUGAAAACCAGUGGCGGGCUCGCUGUCCACACCGAGCGUAGUAACUAACCUCGCUAUGGAGUGGCGCGGGCGCCUGCCGUAAAACCCCCAAUUUCACAAGGUUGACCUCGGAUCAGGUAGGAAUACCCGCUGAACUUAAGCAUACAAUAAGCGGAGGA